rnacentral:rRNA from 1 species
AUUGAACGCUGGCGGCAGGCCUAACACAUGCAAGUCGAGCGGAUGAAGGGAGCUUGCUCCUGGAUUCAGCGGCGGACGGGUGAGUAAUGCCUAGGAAUCUGCCUGGUAGUGGGGGAUAACGUCCGGAAACGGGCGCUAAUACCGCAUACGUCCUGAGGGAGAAAGUGGGGGAUCUUCGGACCUCACGCUAUCAGAUGAGCCUAGGUCGGAUUAGCUAGUUGGUGGGGUAAAGGCCUACCAAGGCGACGAUCCGUAACUGGUCUGAGAGGAUGAUCAGUCACACUGGAACUGAGACACGGUCCAGACUCCUACGGGAGGCAGCAGUGGGGAAUAUUGGACAAUGGGCGAAAGCCUGAUCCAGCCAUGCCGCGUGUGUGAAGAAGGUCUUCGGAUUGUAAAGCACUUUAAGUUUGGAGGAAGGGCAGUAAGUUAAUACCUUGCUGUUUUGACGUUACCAACAGAAUAAGCACCGGCCAACUUCGUG